rnacentral:lncRNA from 1 species
UAUACAUUCAUGUAUAACUCUAAGAGAUUUUAAGAAGAAACUUUCUGAUUUUAGUUGCAACUUUUGGAAAUUUGACAUGAUGUUUCCUGCCAACCCCAGAUUUUUCAACAGGUUUUUCUUUUAGGUUUAAUUAUUGACUUCAUAUGACAAAACUUUGACAUUCUCCAUCUAUUUUUCCCUUGGAUCCUGAAUUCCUGACACAACAGGGGUGGACAUGUUUCCCACACGCUUGGCUUAGCAGAAUACCUAUAUCACUUAAGUUUUUCUGCAAGAGAAAAUCCUCCAAAACUGCAUUA